CCAGGCCCUUCUCUCUGCUUUGCUGUACCCCCGGGGCUGCCGCCAACCCUCACACACAGCCACGCAGGGCCAGGUUGUCUUUGUGUGUUUGUGUCCCAUUCUCUUUUCUUCCCCCUAUUUCGAAAACUCCUCCAGAAUAUGGGCAAAGAAGGUAAAUGAAAUAGUGAAACUCAGCAAACUCUGGGGGUUCUUUUUAGUGACUAUUUUUUUUUAAAGGACAGUUGCCGAAAGAAAAGGAAGACUAGUAUGCUCAGAUUCUACUCUGGCAAGAAUGGGUUGAUGAUGAUGGAUAAAGGGAGUGAAUCCCAGAGUUACGGUCAGGCCUGCCCUGUACCUACUGAAACAAUCUGCGUGAAAGUGGACCCACACAGUGAACACCGUCGUUAUUCCACGGACUACUACUGCUGGCGGGAGAUGUCUAUCAUAUCCAGUGGAUGGACACUUGUUGAGCUCAACUGUACCUGUACCCAUCUGCCUGAUGGACCUGUCCAUUUCUGA